rnacentral:rRNA from 1 species
GACGAAGGAUCCAAGCGUUAUCCGGAUUUAUUGGGUUUAAAGGGUGCGUAGGCGGAUUGAUAAGUCAGUGGUGAAAGCCUGAUGCUUAACAUCAGAACUGCCAUUGAUACUGUUGAUCUUGAAUAUGUUUGAUGUGGGCGGAAUAUGACAUGUAGCGGUGAAAUGCUUAGAUAUGUCAUAGAACACCGAUUGCGAAGGCAGCUCACAAAGCCAUUAUUGACGCUGAGGCACGAAAGCGUGGGGAUCAAACAGG